rnacentral:rRNA from 1 species
UACAGAGGGUGCAAGCGUUGUUCGGAAUUAUUGGGCGUAAAGCGCGCGUAGGCGGCUUGGCAAGUCGGGUGUGAAAUCCCUCAGCUUAACUGAGGAAGUGCGCCCGAAACUGCCGAGCUUGAGUACCGGAGAGGGUGGCGGAAUUCCCCAAGUAGAGGUGAAAUUCGUAGAUAUUCGGAGGAACACCAGAAGCGAAGGCGGCUCACUGGCCCGAUACUGACGCUGAGGAGCGAAAGCCAGGGGAGCAAACGGG